UACACGGCCGUGUCCUCGGUGGUCACGGAGUUCAGCUGCAGGGAGAACUGGUUCUUGGAUGUGUCUCUGGAGAUGGAGAUUCGGCUCUUGAGGGAAGGGCUGUAGUAAGUGCUCCCACCACUAUGUAUGUACCUGAUCCACUCCAGCCCCUUUCCUGGGGGCUGGCGGAUCCAGGUCCACCAGAAACCACUGGUUGUGAUGGAGAAUCCAGAGACAGUGCAGGUGAGGGAGAGGGUCUGUGAGGGCUUCACCAGUCCUGGGCCUGACUCCUGCAGCUGCACCUG